AGUGGUAAGGCAACGGGUUUUGGUCCCGCUAUUCGGAGGUUCGAAUCCUUCCGUCCCAG
rnacentral:tRNA from 2 species